GGGGACGUACAGAUUCGACGUUCUAGCACUUUAACAACAGCAAGUCGCUUAAGAAACCUUACAGCGUUAACAUAUGGUUUCAAAAUUUAAACGCCAAAAACUUUGGUGUUUCCCUUGGGCAGAUGUUUGCCCCUCAACGGGUAGCAUACGCCUAAUAAGGGUAUCUUAAGGUAAUGUCUACAAGGCGCAGUCCUUAAGGUAAGUACACAGCCUGGUUGCAGUUAUUUUGAUCAGUUUCAAUUAAACUAACUAAAGAAAACUGAAGCAAGUGUUGAAUUUCCUGCUGGUAGGUUACAUUCACCACUUACAAAUAUAUCAGCUAAGCUUGUAGAAGUUGUUGAUUUGACAGUUCGCACAGGGGUCACUCCCCUCGUCUCCACCA
rnacentral:tmRNA from 1 species